rnacentral:misc_RNA from 1 species
CUUUGCCAGAUUCAGAAGCUUUUAUAAAGAGAAUCUCAAUUUCCUUCAUGCUUGAAAAUAAGUCCUUGGGAGCAGCUGCAUUCUCGAUACUGUCUUCCUUUGCAGUUGCUUUACCGAAAACAGAUGUAAAUGGAACUAGUGAAGAUGUGGUUCUUAAAGGUGACAAACCAGGAGAAUGGUUAUUCCCUCGAUUCACUAACUCAGGCUCUGAAGCUACACUUUUCACAGUAUGCAUAGUAGGAGUGGCAUUUGCUGCUCCAUCAUCGUGUACCCUGUUAAAAUUUUCAAAACUUCGCACCAGAGUUUCUGAAGCAGGUUCAUCAAACUCGUCCUCCGAGUUUUGAG